rnacentral:lncRNA from 1 species
AUGGAACGUUCAUGUGGUGUCCCCCACGUUGCUUACCCCGGGGGUCAGUGGGACAUCCCACUGAUUGACUCAUUUUGCAAAGCUCGUGGCCCUUCGUUGCUUCCCCAGCAUCCAAGGUACCGUGUCAGCAGGAAAACUCAUUACCUGCCUGCCUGGUUCCGCUGUCUCAGCUCCUUCUUGGAAGCAGGUGGCGUCUCCAUGAUGAAUACAUUAAAGAGAAAAAAGAAAGAAAACAUUCCUGGGUUGUUGUUAGACCGGCUUCUUACUGGAGACACAGUCCUUCUUCAAGGUAAGUAGCUCCUAAACCACAAGAAGGAGCUUCCUAUGGAGAAAAUAGUUUUUCUUCUGAUAUUGUCAGAGGCCUAGGUUGAAAGGUGUACAUUGCAGAAUAAAUUAAUUAGGCAGCUAAGGCAGGUGUAAGUACUGUUUAGCUAUGCAGAUGCAAAGGUGUUUCUUCCUGGUUGGAUGACAUCCAGGAUGGUAGAGGCAGGGGGUGCAAAAAGUGGCAUCGAGGAGACCUGUGUCCCCCUCUCCCUCUCUCCCCUCCCCCGCCCCACCCCUGGGGCAGCAUGGCCAGGGCGCUGAGCUGGGCGCAGAAAAGUGACAGCCAGUAACUCAGGAAGAAACCGUCAGCAGUUAGUGGUGGCGGAGUGGUUGUGCCAACAUGAGGGCCUGGCAGGGAUGUCUGAGGGGAGGAGCUUGGUGUGAAGAAGGAGCACUUCCAAAUGUGGUGUCUAAAUUAAAACGUUAAUUUCGGUGCCUUUUGACGAAGUGCUGUCACUUCCCUUGGGCCCUUCCCAAAUCUGGGCCGCAAGGAUGGACUAAGAGUGAAAGGAGAAGAGGGGAGCGAGGAGCAAGAGAGGGAAGAAGAGAACUCAGAGGUUUACGAAGUAAAUGAAAAAUUACUUGGCGAAAUUCGACUAGGCCCACAAGGUCUUCGACUGCUGGGAAGUGCCAGUUUGUACCAGGUCGUUUAGGUUGUUAAACCAACUGUCACUGGAGAGGAAAGAAAGAGCUGUUUAAAUUUUGGCAGCUUGAUAGACUUUUUUAAAACCUCUUUUGCAGGGUUGAUUUUAACAUAAAUCUUGAGCAGGCCAAACAUGUAAAACACCACUCAGGCCAUUACAGUUAUGUCAAGGUUCUAUUUUCUCCCGCCAGCAGGCUCUCACUCUCUGCUGAUGUUCUAUGCGUCUGCCAAAACCAUAUAAAAAUCAUUCAUGGAGAAAAGUUCCCAGCGCCAGCAGCCAAUGCAGUCCCUUCCCGAUCUGAAGUUUAACGCUGGCCUGGAGACUGGUGAGGACUGGAUGUUGGGGAAGAUCCUGAGUGAGGAAAGCUUGAAGGGAAGAUGAAUGUAUUCAGUGUCUAGCGGUCCCCGCCCCGGGGGGAAGGACGCACACCCUUCACUUCAUCACAGCUAAAGCUGAAAAGAGACACAAGUUUGUGAUAUUUCUCAGUGACGUAUACCUUCUCAUCUGUCUGGAGUUGUUUUCUGCCAACAAGGAGAUGCUGCUUAAAAAAGCCCAACCCAGGAAACCCUGGCAGUUUGCAGUCAUCAGUACUUAAUAUCUGCGCUUUCCCGGUACAAGACAUCCUGUCUCCCUUUCCUCCUUAAAAAGUAGGAGUUACAGAGAGGGUCAGAGGGAAAAAUGCUUGUCUGUAGUAAGGAAUGGCUUUGAUGAGACGCACACGCACACGCACUGCCCAUGGCAUUUAGAGUCACACAAACUUGCCUUGAGCCGACAGUCCUACGGUGACAUGGGCCAUAUAUUCAAGACCUUUGAGACAGAUAAGAAUUCUGAAGUCCCCCGUGAUUACACUGUGAGAGGAAGCCUUUGUUUAGCUCUUGGCAGUGUUCACAGGACAAUGGGCUGCCAGUGAUAUAUGCAAAUGUGUCCUUUCCCCAUUACUGGACGUGACCUUUAUGAUUAGAUUGGAAGAGCAACAUCAAUUCCUGGGUUAAUAGGACUUAUUGGCCUAAAGGGAGGGAGCAUGUUCUCCUGGCAAGCCUGAAAAACUCAGAAUCAGACCCACCAAAUUCUCAUCUUCAUCACAGCCCCAGGGUUCUUGUGUGGCUAGAGAAAUCCUUCACCUUCUGUGCCUUGUUUGUUCUUCGGAAAUCAGGGGAAAGCACCUUUCUCAGGAGCCUUAGGAGCCUUUAAUAAGAGUUUAAAAGUCAGAAGAGAUGGCAUAAAUGCUAUCACGAUGUUUCAGAUCUCCUUGCAGGACCCUUUUCAGAUUAUUCCUAACCUCCAGUGCCAUGGGCUAAUUCCAGCCAGCUUCAGAGACAACCGUAUCCAUAAGAAUCAUCAUGAAACAGAGUUAAGGGUUACUGAUUAUCCGCAAAAACUGUUCCAUUGCAGUUACACACAAAAAAUGCGAGAAGGUGACUUUCCUGGAGGAGUGAUACAGCCUCACCAAGCAGCACCCCUGCUCCAGCCACCCCUCAAAUCAGCUUUCCCCUCACUUCAGAAGCAAUGGAUUUAGCUGUAAUGUUACUGCUCUGUCUAUACUCAUCAUGGUUAUUUAUCUGCUCUGUGAUAACACUUUACAUUAAAAAAAAAAAGCCUUAAAAUAACUUGACCAGAUUCUCCAAGUCAACAUGUAUUAAAAAUCAGGGGGAGAAAGACAGACUAACUUAAAGACACAGAACAGAGCUAGCGUGUGCUGACAAGUACCUACAGUCACCGACAAAGCAAGCAGAGAUGGAUGUGGGUACAUUUUUUAGUAACUUCAAAAAAAAAAAAAAUUAAAAGUAGUGUUAUCAUUUAAAGGAAGAAGGUGUCAGAUCCUCUAACAAAGAGGGGACUCCCCAUACUUCUAGUUAAAAAAGUAGACAAGGUUUGCAACUGCAUGAAUAGUUACACACUUUACAUUUAACUGUUUGCAAAUGUAGAGCUCUACUGAAGUGUAAGGGUCAGAAGAAGCUGGCAUCACCUUGUUACAAUGUUCUCUGUGAAAGAGGCAUCUGGCUGGGUUUCCCACUCACAGGGCUAAAACGGUUAAGCAUUUAAUUGCUUAGAAAGUAAUCCUAUUAUUUCAGAUUUUUGUGCAUAAUGAAUUCUUUUUUUCCUCUAGUUUGAGAACUUAUGAAGGGCAAGUGAGAUCCUCUGGUAAAUUUAUUUUUGAAAAGGCCCUCGACAGAUGUUGUAACAUCUAAGCAGCAUCGGUCUCAGGCAGAGGCUCUGAGCAGCAG